CCCGGAGACCCUUAGGAAACUAGGGGGUGGCUUCCAUCUGGAAGAAGUCUGGAGGACAGGUGCUGCAUGGCUGUCGUCAGCUCGUGUCGUGAGAUGUUGGGUUAAGUCCGCACGAGCGCAACCCUUGCCUUUAGUUGCCAGCAGUUCGGCUGGGCACUCUAAAGGGGACUGCCGGUGUUAAACCGGAGGAAGGUGGGGAUGACGUCAAGUCCUCAUGGCCUUUAUGACCAGGGCUACACACGUACUACAAUGGCCGAUACAAAGGGCAGCGACACUGCGAGGUGAAGCCAAUCCCGUAAAAUCGGUCUCAGUCCGGAUUGGAGUCUGCAACUCGACUCCAUGAAGUUGGAAUCGCUAGUAAUCGUGGAUCAGCAUGCCACGGUGAAUACGUUCCCGGGCCUU
rnacentral:rRNA from 1 species